rnacentral:lncRNA from 1 species
CAGAUAGCUCCUCAGAGGAGGAUUCAGAGACAGAUGAACAGUCCUAUCCCCCCCCCCCCGAGGUGCAUGCUCUAACUUGGCAGGGUUAUGAUGCUCAUAUCGUGUGUAUGGUAUCUUGUAUUGCUAUGUCAUUUGCUUAGUUUAGACAUGCUUUGUGUGAAUGCCACCUGUUUAGUGUCUAAUUACCAUAUAUGUGAAUUAUGCAAUGCCAUCUUGUUGCAAGACAUUAUAUAUGUGAAUUAUGCAAUGCUAUCUUGUUGCAAGGCAUUAUAUAUGUGAAUUAUGCAAUGCCAUGUUGUUUAGCCAAGCGUCAUAUAUGUGAAUUAUAUCAUGCCGUCCUUUUUUUUGUAUUUCUCAUUGCUUUUGUCAACAAUGUUUGUAUAUUCAACUGCUCUUCCUGUGCAUCAGCCAUUUAAAUUGGUGAUGGAGAAAUCUGGAGUGAAAACAAGGUCUUCAGAGCAGACAAUGCUACCUGGUGAAGCAGAUAUCUUGCUGGUUACAGGUAGCUCUUCAGAGGAGGAUUCAGAGGCAGAUGACCAGUCCUAUUAUCCCCCUGAGGUGUAUGCUCAAACUUGGCAGGGUUAUAUUACUCAUAUCAUGCAUAUGUUGUAUUGCAAUGCUUAGUUUUUACAUCAUAUACACGAUAUUGAAUGCCAUCUCCUUAGUUGACACGUCAUAUAUGCGGUUUCCCUCUGCUCACUUCCUUAGUAUAUAAAUCAUAUAUUUGAAUUAUAUCAUGCCAUGAUGUUUACAUAGACAGCAUGUAUCUGAAUUAUGGCAUGCCAACCCAUUUUCUAAAGACAUAAUAUAGUUAUAUCAUCUCAUCCUGUUCACAUAGUCAUCAUAUUUUGAAUUAUGUCAUUCUAUCCGUGAAUUAUAUCAUGCCAUCAUGUUUCCAUCGACGGCAUGUUUGUGAUUUAUGGCAUGCCAACCACUUUAAUAGACACAUCAUAUAGUUAUAUCAUGUCAUCCUGUUUACAUAGUCAUCAUAUUUUGAAGCAUGUCAUUCUAUCCUGUUUAGUUAGCCAUCAUACAUGUGAAAUUGUGUCAUGCUAUCCUGUUUAAUUAGCCAUCAUAUAUGUGAAAUUAUGUCCUACUAUUCUGUUUGGUUAGACAACAUAAAUGUGAAUUAUUUCAUGCCCUGUUUUCUUCCCUACUAUCCAUUGCACCUGUCUAUCUUACAGUGUUUGUACAUUCAAUUACUUUUCUUGUUUAUCAGCCAUUUCAAUUGGAGGGGGUGACGGCAGUAUCUGUGGGAGUAAAAACACGGUCUUCAGAAAAGAUCGUGCUGCCUGUCGAUGGAGAUAGAACCACGAUUGUACUUGCCCAAGAACCAGCCCCACCACACAUAACCCAGACUCAUGCAGAUUGUACCCCUACCCAGUUGGACAGAGAACCAGCUACACCCCUUCUAACCCCAACCCCAGCAGAUAGUAACCCAGUUCCCGUUGACACAGCACCGUCUCCACCACAGAGCACCCAAACACGAGCAGUUAGUAAGGCAACUGCAGUGCCCAAAGCACAAGGACCACCACUCCGAACCCCAAGUCAAUGCUUAAAGUAGAAGAAGAAUUGUUCUCAGGUCAGGUUCCGUAGCUAUGGUUCAUACUACUUUACUCUUGCAUCACUGUAUUUACUCAUACCAACUAAUUUCAAAUUUGAAGGAUGCAAUUGAAACUCCAAUGGCGCAACAGGUAUGUUUUAAACCUGUUUCUUUAACGUGUUUGCUGUUGUAACUUGCUCUAUGUUGAUUUCAGUUUCAAUUGAAUAAAAAAUUAUAUUCUCAUGCCAUGCACCUUACAAGUGUUGUUAUUGCUGUGUAGUUUCCCACACUUAUAUUCUGUCUAAGCUGCUUUGUCUUAAAUAGAUAUGAUUCGAAUUGUAUCUAUCUUGAUUUGGCAACAUAAGCUAGAAUGAUAUAGACCAUACAGUGACCAUACUACAUAGAUAUAUGUUUGUUUCAUGCUGUUAUCCUGUCCACCUUACUACCGAACUGGUUUACCAAAACGAGUUUCAUAUACUACAUUGUAAACCUGUGAUGUGUUUGUUUGUUUCUCUUUUAGAAUGCGGAUAAAAUAUUGGAGAAGAGUACCCCGUUAUCCAAUGGUACAUGAAGUAAUGCAGAUAAGGUUCAAGAUAAUGAGACAUCCCUGUUGGUCUCCAAGAAAGCUGAUAAAAACUGUAUUGAAGACACUGAGACAACCCCAAAGUCCUGUCUUGAUGUAGUGUUCGAGUUACUGGCUAGUACUGCUGGCACCAGCUCUUCGAACUCGCUGCCUGAAUCAAUUCGGCUUCUUGAGUCUCAACUUCAAGUUGAAAGACAUCGAUCAGAUGUUAUGCGACAGGAAGCCGAAGGACUGAGGAAGUCCCUGCAGAAUUCAGAUGCAUUCUUUCUGGUGCAACAGCAAGUGCCAGAGGAUUUAAGCGCCAAACAAGAGAAAGUUAAUAAGCUUGCUAAGCAUCUUGCCAGCAUUAUGGGUACCCAGGAUAUUGUUUCUUGAGCUCUUCUGAAGUGGUUUCAGUUCUGGACUUGUUUUGCUGCGGCGUUUAUAUGCUGCUUUGUUCCCUAUAUUUGCACUGGUGGCGAACUUUGAUGCCCAGUGGAUGUAAUAUGUGUAAUAGUCGUGAUAGCCUAGCGUAAGUUGCUUGCCUAUUUAUUUCCUUAUUGUCUUAUUUAUUUGUUUUCUUGUAGUCAGUGCAGUUCUUUUUCCGCGGUUUGCUAGUGGCCGCAAUAGCCUAUUUUUUAAAACUAGGCCACAUUAACCAUGGGAUACAUAUUUACUGUAGUUAACAUGGGCCUCCUACGGGCCGUAGAAACAAUGGGCCUUCUAAGGGCCGUAGAAACAAUGGGCCUUCUACAGGGAGUAGAAACAAUGGGCCUUAUACGGGCCGUAGACACAAUGGGCCUUCUACGGGUUGUAUCAUCAAUGGGCCUUCUACGGGCCGUAUGAUCGGCUGGCCAAACAUGGGCCAAUAACAUACCACAUUAUGGCCGUAAAUGGGCUAGAGUUGAAAUCGUCCGUUCAUGGGCCGACCAUAACGGGCCGUCGUUAAUCGGUCGUAUUUGAUGACGCUAUGAAAACGGCCCAACGUAUUAACGGGUCACAAACGGGCCGACUGUAACCACGGGCUGAAUUUGGCCCACAAGCAGAAAAUGACGGUAACGGGCCGAAAGUAAACGAAUGCUGGAAAUGAGCCCAAGAAUAAAUGGGCCCUGAGAAGGCCGAAAGAUAACAUGGGCUGGAAACGGCCCAACGGUAUAAUGGGACGUUAAUGGGUAUAAAGUGAUACACUGUUCAUUACGGGCCAGUUUUACCACUGGUCGUUAAUGGGUCGAGGGUUACUAAGGGCCUCAUAUGGGCCGAAAGACGUCAUGGGCCACACAUGGGCCGGAAGUUAAAACGGGCUGGAAUUAUAUUGGACGGCCUAGAUGACGCUACUGGGCCUAAUUCGGAUAGGCCGUAAACGGGCCCUGGGUUAGCGGGCUGUAAAUGGGCUAUAUGCGAACAGGCCUUUAACAGGCUUGCCGUGGGCCGGCCCGCCACCUUUUGACCAAGUCAAACGGGCCGGCCUUUUCACAGGAAUGGGCCUCCGUUGGGCCGUGCCACGUGUCUACGUAUCAUAAGCGCUUUGGGUCCAAUGAGUGGAUGACAUCUGUCCCAGCGGUGAGCCGACACGUGUUCCCUCCAGCCAAUGAUGAUUUUACACGUGGAAAAUCCCCAUUGGUCGGGGCUGUUAAUGGGUUAUCGGAUCCAAAACCGGACCCGAUAGCUUAACGGCGUUCCGUUACGGUGGAUGCCACGUGUCGGUCACCCUUGACGAAAGCACUUCUGUGACGCGCGAUUUAUCGUCAUGGAAGUGGACACUUCCGUGAUGAUAAUUUUGGUAAUGUCAUGGAACACUUCUACGACAGCACAAGUAUGACUAUCUUGAUUCUGUCAUAAAUUUGUCAUGGAUGUACAUGCAUGACAGAAAACGUGACCUACUGUGACAAACACGUAUCAUCACGAAAGUGUUUUUUUUUGUAGUGAUAACUUCCCCGGGGGGUUCCGGUAACCCCUCGGUUCCCCGAUAAAUAUCCAAAACGUCCCGAAACCAUUCCGGUGUCCGAAUACCUUCGUCCAAUAUAUCAAUCUUUACCUCUUGACCAUUUUGAGACUCCUCGUCAUGUCCGUGAUCUCAUCCGGGACUCCGAACAAACUUCGGUCACCAAAACACAUAACUCAUAAGAUAAAUCGUCAUUGAACGUUAAGCGUGCGGACCCUACGGGUUCGAGAACUAUGUAGACAUGACCGAGACACAUCUCCAGUCAAUAACCAAUAUCAUAACCUGGAUGGUGAUAUUGGCUCCUACAUAUUCUACGAAGAUCUUUAUCGGUCAAACCGCAUAACAACAUACGUCAUUCCCUUUGUCAUCGGUAUAUUACUUGCCCGAGAUUCGAUCGUCGGUAUCAUCAUACCUAGUUCAAUCUCGUUACCGGCAAGUCUCUUUACUCAUUCCGUAAUACAUCAUCCCGUAACUAACUCAUUAGUCACAUUGCUUGCAAGGCUUAUAGUGAUGUGCAUUACCAAGAGGGCCCAUAGAUACCUCUCCGAUACACGGAGUGACAAAUCCUAAUCUUGAUCUAUGCCAACUCAACGAACACCUUCAGAGACACCUGUAGAGCAUCUUUAUAAUCACCCAGUUAUGUUGUGAUGUUUGAUAGCACACAAAGUGUUCUUCCGGUAUUCGGGAGUUGCAUAAUCUCAUAGUCAAAGGAAUAUGUAUAAGUCAUGAAGAAAGCAAUAACAAUAAAACUAAACGAUCAUCAUGCUAAGCUAACAGAUGGGUCAUGUCCAUCACAUAAUUCUCUAAUGAUGUGAUCCUGUUCAUCAAAUGACAACACAUGUCUAUGGUUAGGAAACUUAACCAUCUUUGAUUAAUGAGCUAGUCAAGUAGAGGCAUACUAGGGACACUUUGUUUGUCUAUGUAUUCACAAAUGUACUAAGUUUCCGGUUAAGACAAUUCUAGCAUGAAUAAUAAACAUUUAUCAUGAUAUAAGGAAAUAUAAAUAACAACUUUAUUAUUGCCUCUAGGGCAUAUUUCCUUCAUUUAUAUCUGUUGAUCACUAUGAGGAAUCUGAAAGACAAUAAAACCAAGAUUUAUCCCUCAACUACGAGGGGAGGUAAGGAACUGCCAUCUAGCUCUGCACUUGAUUCUCCUUCUGUUUUGAGUAAACUUGCGACACCUACACCUGCUAAUGAUUCCGAUAUGUCGCAUGUUAUUGAUGAUGCCACUUUUGCUAUGCAUGAUGCUUAUGAUGAUACUCCUUUUUUGCUUGAUAAUACUGUGCCACUUGGUGAAUUUCUUGAUGAACAACUUGCUAGGGUUAGAGAGAAUAAAAUUACUGAAACUGAUGAUAUUUUUGAAACUGAAGAUUAUGAUGAUUAUGAUUCUCCCCUUGAUAUGAAUUGCCUGUUGUACCUAAGGGUUAUGUUAUGGAUGAAGAAACUGCUAGAGACUUCUUUGCUUGCAAUGAUAGAGAGGAUCUUAAGAAAUUGUUAGCUAAGCUGAAAGAAAAAUCCUUGAAUGCUAGAAUGAAAUAUGAUCCCAAUUUUGCUACUUCACCUAUUUUUGUUACUGAUAAGGAUUAUGAAUUCUCUGUCGAUCCUAAUUUAAUUACUUCGGUUGAAUCUGAUCCUUUAUAUGGUUAUGAAUCUGAAACUUUUAUGGCACAUCUUACUAAAUUGAAUGAUAUAGCCACCCUAUUUGCUCAUGAGGAAAAAAUUCACCAUUACUAUAUUCUCAAAUUUUUUCCUUUCUCAUUAAAGGGUGAUGCUAAACUAUGGUUUAAUUCUCUUGUUCCUGGUUGUGUACGUAGUCCCCAGGAUAUGAUUUAUUACUUCUCUGCAAAAUAUUUCCCCGCUCAUAAGAAACAAGCCGCUUUAAAGGAAAUAUUUAACUUUGUGCAAAUUGAAGAAGAGAGUCUCCCACAAGCUUGGGGGAGGCUUCUCCAAUUACUUAAUGCUUUGCCUGAUCAUCCGCUGAAGAAAAAUGAAAUACUUGAUAUCUUUUAUAAUGGACUAACCGAUGCUUCCAGAGACCACCUGGAUAGUUGUGUUGGUUGUGUUUUCAGGGAAAGAACGGUUGAGCAAGAUGAAUUGCUAUUGAAUAAUAUAUUGAGUAAUGAUAAUGAUUGGACACUUCCUGAACCAACUCCUAAGCCAACUCCAAAAAAAGGGGUAUUCUAUUUCUCAGUCCUGAAGAUAUGCAAGAGGCAAAGAAAUCUAUGAAAGAAAAAGGUAUUAAGGCUGAAGAUGUUAAGAAUUUACCGCCUAUUGAAGAAAUACAUGGUCUUGAUAACCUGACACAGGUAGUAGAGGUAAACUCUCUCCAUAGAUUUGAUGAAGGUGAUAUUCCUCAUAAUAAGUCUACUAGUCAAUGCUUGGAUGAGUUUGAUAAUUUUAUUGUUAAACAAGAAAACUUCAAUGCUUAUGUUAGUAGACAAUUGAAACGUAAUGCUUACAUGCUUGACCACUUGGGUGAUUAUAUGAGUAGAACUAUUAGUGAUCUUAAGCUUAUUAGUAAACAUGCUUCCAUGGUUACAACUCAAGUAGAACAAGUACUUAAGUCACAAGAUGAUUUGCUUAAUGAGUUGAAUAGUAAAAAUAAUGAUAAUGAUGUUAGACUUAUGACCAGAGGUGGUAAAAUGACCCAGGAACCUUUGUAUCAUGAGGGCCAUCCUAAGAGAGUUGAGCAAGAUUCUUAGAGAGUUAAUACUGAUGCACCUAGUCCUAGUAAUAAAAAGAAAAAAGAAAACGGAUAGGACUUUGCAUGCUAGUGAACCUGCUAUAGACACACCUGAGAAUCCCAAUGAUAUUUCUAUUUUUGAUGCUAAGACUCAAUCUGGUGAUGAACAAGAACCUGGUGAUAAUGUUAAUAAUGAUGUUCAUGUUGAUGCUCAACCUAGUAAUGAGAAUGAUGUAGAGAUUGAACCUGUUGUUGAUCUUGAUAACCCACAAUCAAAGAAUCAACGUUAUGAUAAGAGAGACUUUGCUGCUAGGAAACAUGGUAAGAAAGAGAACCAUGGGUUCAGAAACCCAUGCCCUUUCCUCCUAAGCCAUCGAAGAAAAAUGAUGAUGAGGAUUUUGAGCGCUUUGCUGAAAUGAUUAGACCUAUCUUGUUGCGUAUGCGUUUGACUGAUAUGCUUAAAAUGCCUCCUUAUGCUAAGUGUAUGAAAGAUACCGGAAGCUGAAAUUUCCACCAUGCUUGCUAAUUAUACUUUUAAGGGUGGAAUACCAAAGAAACUAGGAGAUCCAGGAGUACCAACUAUAUCAUGCUCCAUUAAAAGAAACUAUGUUAAAACUGCUUUAUGUGAUCUUGGAGCCGGUGUUAGUGUUAUGCCUUUCUAUUUGUAUCGUAGACUUGAAUUGAAUAAGUUGACACCUACUGAAUCUCUCUACAAAUGGAUGAUAAAUCAACUGCUAUACCCAUCGGUAUUUGUGAGGAUGUGCCUGUUGUGGUUGCAAACGUUACUAUCUUAACGGACUUUGUUAUCCUUGAUAUUCCCGAGGAUGACAGUAUGUCGAUCAUCCUUGGUAGACCUUCUUUGAAUACUGCAGGGGCUGUUAUUGAUUGCAACAAAGGCAAUAUCACUUUUCAUGUUAAUGGUAAUGAGCAUACGGUACACUUUCCGAAGAAACAACCUCAAGUUCAUAGUAUCAAUUCUAUUGGAAAAAUUUCAACUAUAUUGGAGGUUUUGAAUUCCCUCUUCCUACUGUCAAAAAGAAAUAUGAUAUUUUUAUUGUUGGGGACAUGCAUAUCCCCAUUGAGGUAACCUAGUGUUAUUUGAAAGUUCUCCGGUUUCAUGUCAUUUGGAAGAAGUUUGUUAAUAAGACUUGAUCAACCGUGUUAAUGGAUUCCUUUUGAUGAGCGUGAGAUGGAUGAAUUUAGAAAGCAUAACUCUCUGUACCCAUUUUCUACUUUCUGUUAUUUAGAUUAAAUGAAGCAAAAAAUAGUAUUUUUCUGUUUGUUUUCUGAAUUAUCCGUGCAAUAAAAAUGUCCCAAAAAUAAAAGUUCUCCAAAUGCCCAAAAAAUUCAGUAUGAUUAUAUAUAUAUAUUAUUUUAGAAUUUCUGGCACAAAACACACACCAGGGGGCCUCAUCAGCUGGCCACAAGGGUGGAGGGUGCGCCUUACCCCCUGGGCGCGCCCCCUGUUCUUGUGGGCCCCACAUGGCCCCCUCCACUUAUUCCAGCACCCAUUCACUCCUUCUUCCUCUAGAAAAAAUCACUUCAUAGCUCAAACUCGUGUUCUUGCUCAUUUUGCUGCCAUUUUCGAUCUCCUUGCUCAAAGCUCCAUUCACCAAACUGCUUUGGGGGAUUGUUCUUCGGUAUGUGACUCCUCCAAUGGUCCAAUUAGUUUUUGUUCUAAUGGUUUAUUUAUUGCAAAUUUUUGCUGCUGUGGUGACCUUGUUCUUGAGGUUGCAUGUCAAAUUUAUAUGGUCCAAAGUAGUUUUGAUGCAUGAUAUAGCCUCUAGGCACUUGUAGGAGUAGUUGCUAUCAAUCUUGUUGAGUUUAGUUCACUUUUAUUUUGAGUCCCUAAAAAUUUCAUAAAUUUUCAGAGAAAGAAAAAUGUAUAGGAGAAUGUACCAAGGUGGUUCUUCGAGGAAGCAAGCACUGAGGCGCGCGAUAUGCGAACCAGACCUUGAACCACCAAGGGAAGCUCAAGUGAAGCCAGGGGUGGACCCAGGACUAAAAUGACCCGGUGUCCCAUGUCCAUCACAUGUGUGGAUAUCAAGUAGUAAUAUACAUAAGAAUAACGGCUUGUAUUUUCUUUUCGGCCUUUGGCCGGUGCCUGGAAACCUUGUUAAACCUCUUCUUAUUUAAUGAAUGGGUCUUUUCCCUCUGUUUCAAGAAAAAGUAGUAAUAUACAUAAUAGUAACACACAUAAGAAUAAAGUCUACAUAGAAUAUGAUAUAGGAGUGAAUAUGCUAACCAGAAGUCCAAAUAUAAGAGGUUCGCUUGAAAUAUUAGUUGAUCGUAGAAUUGGAGCAAUAGCAGAGCAUCAAAUUAUGAAAAUAAGUACGAAGGAUGCUGACACAAUGCAAUAUUAGCGCUUUGAUUGCCUACAGAACAAAAGAAACAAAAGCACUUAGUAACAUAUUAAGUAUAAUUCUGCAAUAAACAGAUAUGUUAAGACAAGUACCUCUAAAAAUAUUUUUAAGUUUUUUCAUGGCCCCGAAGCGAUCAAUUACCGCUUCAUUUAUAAUCUUGCCAAGUCGCCAGAUGCCGGAUCACUGGGGAACUAAAUUUUUUGGCUGAUAUUUUUCCAUUUUUUAGUGCAUAAACUGAGCUUCUACUAUAAUUUAAGAUUUUUUCCCUACCCGUUAUUAAGAUAAUUAAAAUUUGCAUAAAGAAAAAAAGAACUAUAAAACAUAUUACUGUACUUGAACUGCUAGGUAUAUAAUUAGACUUACUUGACAUUGUGCUUGUGCGUCCAGCCUGUAGGUGCUCAAGAGUAUCGCAGGCUUUUCUCCAAUCUCCACUCAGUGCAUGAUAAGUCUAGAUAAUCCAAUAAUACCAAAUACAAUUAAGUUCUCUAGCCCUAUCCAGUAGCCCUAGUGCCCUAUGGUAGAAAAGCAAUCAAGAAUUGGACUCUGGAUGUUAUAGAUGCACCGCACAUUAGGGAUUUGCGGCUUUGGUGCAGCAGCAGACGUACCAAUUUAGUUCCCCACUGAUCUGGCUUCCUGCGACUUGGCAAGAUUUAGCGUUCAUGAUGACUUGCAGCGAGCCCGACGAAGCAGACGAAGAGGCGGAGGCGCAGGUAUGAAUCAGAUCGAUCGAUGUGGUGUGGAGGACCUGGCGUGGCGGCGAACUGCUCGUUUGCGGAGGCCGGCGAGUCGCAUCCUUAAAGUGGGCCGCGCAAGCAGCUGUUCUCCUUACUGGGCCGCAUGGAGCAGUACCGGUGUCCCUCACUCUUUUUUACCGGUGUCCCUCUCUAUUGGGCUCCAUGGUUACAAGGUAACAAGAUUUUUUACCCGGUGUCCUGUGCUACCUGCUGGGCCAACGUGGGCUCGCCCCUGAGUGAAGCCUUGUGAAUGGCCAUCAGAUGAAUUUAUGGUUCGUGCAGGUUUCAAAGGUGAAUUCUAUGUGUACGUACAAAAUGUCGGGCUUGAGGACUUCUUAUGAGACAAGUGCCUACAAUAUUAUUAUCUCACCGAUUCCUUUGUGCGGAGGUUUGAGUUUUCAUCUAAGUCUAAUACUCAUACUGUCCUGUUUGAUCUUCAUGAUGAAUCUUACACCAUGGACCUAGAAGAUUUUUGUGAUGGAUGCAAAAUUCCACAAGGGGGCCUUCUUAGUGAGCCUCACAAAUCUGAAUAUAAUGAUUUCCUUGCUAGCAUCACCUUUGGAGAAACUAGAAAUAUCACACAAGCUACCAUAGUGGGCAUUCACUUUCCUGCCAUACAUUAUUUUGCUCUCAUUAUAUGAAGAUGCAUUAACGGUAAGCAUGAGCAUUGACACCUUUGUGUUCCAGAUCUUAGUGUCCUCAAGUGCGCGGUGUUGAGUGAUAAGCGAUAUAACUUGGGGGCUAUUAUUGCGAGGAGGUUACAUCUUAAUGCUAAAGAUGGAGAUUUAUUUGGUGGGAUUUAUGCAACUCGUUUAGCUAAUUAUUUGGGUGUACCCAUAAGUGGGUAUGAUAUUGAGUUGCCACCUGCUUUUCUAGAUUAUGAUGCUAUGGCACGCUACCGGUUUCUUGAGAGGAACGAUCAAUUCCUCCAGUAUGGAAUAAUCUUUGAUAGACGCGUGCCUUCCAUGUUACUCUUCCUUCCCCUGCCUUCUUUAAAUUUAAGGUAAAUAGGAGAUAUUUAAUAACUAGAGAGGAGACAAACGAGAAUGAGAGAACAGCGGAGGCUGCUCGCCUCCAUGCUGCAACCCUUCAGGAAGUAGCUGCUGCAUCUCAGUACAACCCCGACUACAACUUUGGAUAUCCACCAGGCUAGCCAUGGCCUUAGACCAACCUAGGCCAAAAGCCUAAGCUUGGGGGAGUACGUAUUUCUCACCGACAUUAUAUUCAUGUUCACACACUCAUUUCAGUUGUCGGUGAUCAUACUUUUUCAUUGUAUUAUAUAGUUUAUUUUUUCCCGCUUUCUUCUUGUGUGUUUAAAAACCUUAAGAAAAACCAAAAAAUUAGUUGUAGUUAGUUUACUUUCUAGGCAUGCUCAGUAGUAGUAUUAAAAGAAAACCCAAAAAGAUUUCCCGUUCUUCUUUUGCUUGUUGGGAGCUUUCCCGUGUAAAUAGUUUUUCUCAUUCUUGUUUUUCUUUCUUCAGAAAAACAAAAACUCCAAAAACAUUUCAGUGUGUUUCUUUGAAAUUCUUUUCUUUUCUUUGGGGGUCGAGAGGAGAAGACCACGAUGAAAAUGUUAAGUGGCUCUCAUAUGCAUUAUUGUUGAUCUAACAAAGAGCCCAUAUUACCUUGUCUUCUCCUUUGAAUAAAUGUUUGCAGAUUUUAGCUCGGUCCAAUGCACGUGCACUAUUAUUAUUAUCCACACCGUUCGGUCGUGCAAGUGAAAGGCAAUAAUGACGAUAUAUGAUGAAAUGAUUGAGAUGAGGAAAAGCUGGUAUGAACUCGACCUAUCUUGUUUUUGUAGAUAUGAUUAGUUCAUUGUUCCCGAUUCAGCCCAUUAUGAAUGAAACAUGUUUGCAAUGACAAUUAGAGAUUAUAGUUACUCAUGCCAUGCUUAAUUAGCUAGGAGUUUAUAAUGGUUUAUCUUGCAUGCCAGCAUGGAAAUUAAAAUGGUUGUGAUGUAGUAUGAUAGGAUGAUAUCCUCCUUUGAAUGAUUCAAGUGGCUUGACUUGGCACAUGUUCACACAUGUAGUUGAAACAAAAUUAGCAUAGCCUCCACGAUAUUUUUGUUCAUGGUGAUUUAUAUCCUACUCAUGCUUGCAUUCAAUGUUGGUUAAUCUCAAUGCAUGUUUAUGAUUGUUGUCGCUCUCUAGCUGGUCGCUUCCCAGCCUCUUUCUAGCCUUCACUUGUACUAAGCGGGAAUACUGCUUGUGCAUCCACUUCCAUAAACCCAAAGUUGUUCCAUAUGAGUCCACCAUACCUCCCUAUAUGCGAUAUUUACCCGUCGUUUCAAGUAAAUUUGCAUGUGCCAAACUCUAAACCUUCAAAUGAUAAUCGGUUUUGUAUGCUCGAAUCGCUCAUGUACCAACUAGGGCUGUCUAUAUCUUCCAUGCUAGGUGGGUUAUUCUCACGAUGAGUGGACUUCGCUCAUCAUUCACGAGAAAAUGGCUGGUAACCGGGAUGCCCAAUCCCAUGCUCAAAUCAAAUCAAAAUAAUUGCAAACAGAACUCCCCCAGGACUGUUGUUAGUUGGACGGUACCCCUUGUUUCGGACCAGCCGUGGAAUGUGCUUGUUGGUGGUGGGGGAGUAUAAACUUUACCAUUCUGUUUGGGAACCGCCUAUAGUGUAUGUAGCAUGGAAGAUACCGAGAUCUCUUAGUUGUUAUGUUGACAAUGAAAGCAUACCGCUCAAAAUAUUAUUUAUCUCCGUCUCAAAAACUCGAGCUCUGGCACCUCUGCAAAUCCCUGCUUCCCUCUGCGAAGGGCCUAUCUAUUUACUUUUAUUGUUGAGUCAUCAUCCUCUUAUAAAAAGCACCAGUUAGAGAGCACCACUGUCAUUUGUAUGCACUAUUAGUAAUUUAUAUUGAGUAUGACUGGAUCUCUUUUACCAUGAAUUACAAUGUCUAGUCAGUCCUUGAUCUUUAGGGGUGCUGUGCAUUUAUGUUUUGCGGUCUCAGAAAGGGCUAGCGAGAUACCAUCUUGUUAUAUCAUAUCAUGAUUGUUUUGAAAAAGUGUUGUCAUCCGAGAUUUAUUAUUAUUGCUCGCUAGUUGAUUAUGCCAUUGAUAUGAGUAAAUGUGAGACCUAAAGGUUAUUGUGAACAUGGUUAGUUCAUAAUCUUUGCUGAAAACUUGAAUGCUGGCUUUACAUAUUUGCAACAACAAGAUCAAACAGAGUUUGUAAAAGUUUUUUAUCACUUUCAGUUUGUCAACUGAAUUGCUUGAGGACAAGCAAUGGGUUAAGCUUGGGGGAGUUGAUACGUCUCCAUCGUAUCUACUUUUCCAAACUCUUUUGCCCUUGGUUUGGACUCUAACUUGCAUGAUUUGAAUGGAAUUAACCCGGACUGGCGUUGUUUUCAGCAGAAUUGCCAUGGUGUUAUUUUUGUGCAGAAAUAAAAGUUCUCGGAAUGACCUGAAACUUCACGGAGAUGAUUUUUGGAAUUAAUAAAAAUAUUGGCGAAACAAUCAACUAAAGGGGCCCACACCCUGGCCACAAGGGUGGGGGGCGCGCCCUCCAUCCUUGUGGGUCCCCUGGACCUCCACCGACCUCAACUCCAACUCCAUAUAUUCAUAUUCGGGGAGAAAAAAAUCAGAGAGAAGGAUUCAUCGUGUUUUACGAUACGGAGCCGUCGCCAAGCCCUGUUCUUCCUCGGGAGGGCAGAUCUGGAGUCCGUUUUGGGCUCCGGAGAGGGGAACCCGUCGCCAUCUUCAUCAUCAACCAUCCUCCAUCACCAAUUUCAUGAUGCUCACCGCCGUGUGUGAGUAUGCCCAUCGUAGGCUUGCUGGACCAUGAUGGGUUGGAUGAGAUUUACCAUGUAAUCGAGUUAGUUUUGUUAGGGUUUGAUCCAUAAUAUCCACUAUGUUCUAAGAUUGAUGUUGCUAUGACUUUGGUAUGCUUAAUGCUUGUCACUAGGACCCGAGUGCCAUGAUUUCAGAUCUGAACCUAUUAUGUUUUCAUGAAUACAUUCGUGUUCUUGAUCCUAUCUUCCAAGUUAUAGUCACCUACUAAGUGUUAUGAUCCGGUAACCCCGGAGUGACAAUAGUCGAGACACUUCCCGGUGAUGACCGUAGUUUGAGGAGUUCGUGUAUUCACUAAGUGCUGAUGCUUUGGUCCGGUACUCUAUUAAAAGAAGGCCUUAAUAUCCCUUAGUUUCCAUUAGGACCCCGCUGCCACAGGAGGGUAGGACAAAAUUUGUCAUGUAAGUUCUUUUCCAUAAGCACGUAUGACUAUAUUCGAAAUACACGCCUACAUUAUAUUGAUGAAUUGGAGCUAGUUCUGUGUCACCCUAUGUUAUAACCGUUGCAUGAUGAAUGCCAUCCGACAUAAUUAUCCAUCAUUGAUCCAUUGCCUACGAGCUUUUCACAUAUUGAUCUUUGCUACUUUACUUUUCCGUUGCCACUGUUACGAUUGCUACAAUACUGCUACUGUUACUUUUGCCACCGUUACCGCUACUUCCAUACUACUUUGCUACUUAAUGCUUUGCUGCAGAUAUUAAGUUUUUCAGGUGUGGUUGAAUUGACAACUCAACUGCUAAUACUUGAGAAUAUUCUUUGGCUCCCUUUGUGUCGAAUCAAUAGAUUUAGGUUGAAUACUCUACCUCGAAAACUGUUGCGAUCCCCUAUACUUGCGGGUUAUCAUAUCUCUUUUAGGUCUAGAAUUCCACCUGUCUGCAAUUUCUCUCUUCAUAUAGAUCUUGCAUAUUAAGACAAAAAGACAUUAGAAUUGCAUCAUAAAGUGAAACAUUGAUAAAAGCAUUAUAAAUAGCAGUUGGACAAGCAUGAUGCAAAAUGGACGUAUCACUAUGUUUAAUGCGUCAUAAUGAGGUACUAGUAAUAAGGUUCAAAAUAUCAUACAUCGGGGUCGUAUCAGUUUGGCUUGAGCAUAUCGGGUGAUAUAUUGGACGAUAUGUAUAUAUAUCGAAGGAAAUAUAUCUAUAUUUUCCCAAUAUUAUUGUUCAAAAUGUCUUUUAAGUAAAAAAAAUAGUAUGGUGUCAACACUCUAGCAUAACAAAUUUAAAUUCCUUGUUUAUGACUUGUUCGCUAAUAAACUAUUUAUGAUAGAUUCACAAAAUCCUCACUUUAAGAUUUAAAACAAUACAUUAUAUAUGUGUUCUACGAAACAUUAUGCAUGACUUUGAAAAUACAUAAUCUAUUUUUCACCGAUUUCUGAUAAAAAAUUGUCUUUAUCGACGUACCAGUCUAUGUCAGUGGGUAUAUCAGGUCCCAUAUCGGCCAUAUCGGUCGAUAUUUUGGUCCAUAUCAGAUGAUAUACGUGAAAAUGAUAUUUGCAAAAUGAUAUGUUAUGUACUUAUGUUUAUAUCGGUAGAGCCCCCACACUGAUAUAUCAGCCUAUAUAUAGGUCAUAGCAACUUAGAUUUAAAAGCUUGACUAGUAACUCUUGGAAUAAUGGCGUAGUGAAUGAAGCUUUCGUGUAUACUCCACAAAUAAUGCUUCUGCCCGUUGGGCUGCUUUCAUCUCAGGGAGGUAUGUCCGAGUGAAAUACACAAUUAUGAAUCCUAGUCUACCUCCACUCGUGUAGCAUGUCCCGGUUGAUCAAACCCCAACAUGCAGGAUGAUAUAUUUGUACUCGAUGAAGGGGUUUGUAAACAUCAAAUUUAUCUUCCGUCUCAUGUGAAACAUUGUUGUAACAUAUUUCUUGCGGUGAGUAAUUUAAGUUUUUCGACAAAGAUUAUCGUAUACUACAAUUUAAGCACGCUCACUGCUAUUUCCAUGCUGCAUUAAGGGCCCCCGGCCUGCGAAAUAUAGUAUACCAUAUAUUUUUAGGUUAGUUUACCUUUUUUUUGAGAGAUUAUGUUAGUUUACCUUUUUUUUUACGGUUGAUUAUGUUAGUUUACCUGCCUUUUUUUUAGAAACACCUGCCGUAAGUUUUUUUUUUGAGAAACAGCUGCCGUAAGUUGUUUGGUGGUUAAAAUCGUAGCCCAACCGAAAGAAACGCGGUCAGGUCCAUGGUGGUUUGAAAGCCCAUAUGUGUUGAGCGGAAAUAGACAGCAGCUUCGAGUAAUAUCGCGCCAGCGCAAAACGCUCCGCAGUUUCCCGCUUCCUUUUUUUUAGUUUUUUCACACUGCCGCCAAUUGUUUUGUCAGUCCCACCGCGCGCGUAGUUCAAACCCCCCCAAAACACCAGCGCGCCAGAAAUUUCGCCGGUUUCCCUCCCAACUCCCCCCUCCCGCCCCCCCGCGCCGCCUCCCCACCACACUCGAAAUAAAUACAGGGAGCAAAACCGCUGAAUAGCCCGAAGAGGAGAGAAGCACCCAAGCCCCAGUCAGUUCUAAGACCGAGAGAGGCGAGAGGAAGCCAGGUGAGGCAGGGGAUCCCCGGCGUUGUAGCUUGAAAUCUCUUUUGCUUGCUUGGUUUUGCUGAUGGUUUCGUUGGGUGUGCAUGUAGGGGGCUCUGCUGCGAAGGGAGAUGGCCGGGAAGGGAGGCAAGGGGCUGCUUGCGGCGAAGACGACGGCGGCCAAGGGCGCCGCCGACAAGGACAAGGACAAGAAGAAGGCGCCUGUGUCCCGCUCGUCCCGUGCCGGGAUUCAGGUUUGCCCGCUCCCCAAUUCCCCCUCUUUCCUGUAGCUAUUUUGUGGACCGUUCUCGCGGGUGAAUUGUUAGAUCUCCAAGUGUUUCCUGCCGCGGAUCUGGUGCCAUGCUGCACCUUAUGUUUGUACGAGAUUUGUUGUAGAAUCUUAUUGUGCUCCGUUGUCAGUAUUGAUUAUCGAUUUGUAGUAAUGAUUAUCGGUUAGCUGGUUCGUUUAGGUUGUCUCCCCCAUCCUAGUCGGAGUUUGUUUGUUAUGUUGUAAACUAUGCCAGAUCUAUGUUUUGCACUCCUGCAAUGUUAUGACAGUAUACUGAUUGCAGGCUUCAGUGCCAUGCACUGGCAAAAGUACCGUAUUUUAUUGAUCUAUUAACUUGUAGCUGUACCUUUUGAAUUCUACCCACACUUGUACUGUACUAUUGUGGGAUCCGUUUAUGAUUUUUUCUACUCCCUCCGUCCCAUAAUAUAAGAUCGUUUUUUACACUAGUGUAGUGUAAAAAAUGCUCUUCUAUUAUGGGACGGAGGGAGUAUAUAAUAAUAACAUUGCUGGAGACAGGCAUGCGUUUUUGUGAUGCAAGCAUUGCUCUCUGCUUGGUUACUUGCACCAUUCAAGGGGAUGUACUCUUCCAUGUUAUCAACUUAAUACUGAUACUUGUUCUGUAUCUGGCACAGAUAAUAUGUGUUUGAUCUAAGUUUCAGCUUGGGACAUCCAUUAUCAGAAUUGAUGUAUUUACUGUUCAUAUCUUUUGCAUGUUUAAAUUGUGACCUCAUCAAUUACCGAUCAUGACCUGCUCGUGUGUUUGCACUAUGCAGUUCCCGGUGGGCCGUAUACACAGGCAGCUCAAGCAGAGGGUCUCGGCUAAUGGCCGUGUGGGUGCCACUGCCGCUGUGUACUCUGCAGCAAUCCUUGAGUACCUCACUGCCGAGGUCCUUGAGCUGGCCGGCAACGCCAGCAAGGAUCUCAAGGUGAAGCGUAUCACCCCUCGCCACCUGCAGCUCGCGAUCCGUGGAGACGAGGAGCUGGACACCCUCAUCAAGGGCACCAUCGCUGGUGGUGGUGUCAUCCCUCACAUCCACAAGUCCCUCAUCAACAAGACCUCCAAGGAGUGAAUGAAACGCAAUAACGGGUAGUUGUGCUUUGUAUCUUCGUGAUCCCUUGUUAUGUUGUGCUAUCUGUGAUGUGUUGCUAUUAUCACAACCUGAAUAGGUUGUCUGAAUUUGUGAUGGGGCUAGCUUUCGGUAACUUGUUAUUAGGGAAAGACUUGGCAAAUGUAAUCGUGAUAUGGAACCACUUAUAUUUGGUUUCCUGAAGACCAGACAAUCCUUACUAUUCGUCUUCAUGGAUAUCCAGGUUUAACUUUCUUUUAUUUUUGUUGGUUUCGCUCAAGAUCACUGCAACUGGAGUGCCUGCCGG